UCCUUGGGGAAUUUCUUUUUAUGCGUUGUGUAUAAUAAGAGUAGUUAAAUGUACAAAUUCAAAAUCGUGACGAUUAAAAUGUGUUAUGAUGUAAUCAGAUAAAAUUGAGGACUUCCUGGUAUGAUUACCAACCAGGUUUUUGUUUUCAUUUAGCUUCCGUGAAUCGUCAAACAUUUACCUGUUUUAAAGAAUACACACGGCGCAGACUUUAUAUAUCGCUGGAAUGUCAAAUAAAAGUAAAACUCCAAAACUAUCCCCCAGUGGUACUGAUAUCAGUACGUUAACCGCUGAAUUAGAAAUUAAAAAUGACUUGCUGGAUAAAAUAGACAAGAAAAACAGCCAGCUGUAUUCCGAAAAUGAGCGACUGAAAAGAGAAAAUAAAAUAUUAGAAAGAGAUAAAGAUGAUGCUCUCUCAAGGU